rnacentral:rRNA from 1 species
CACGUAGGGGCCAAGCGUUGUCCGGAUUUAUUGGGCGUAAAGAGCUCGUAGGCGGUUCGACAAGUCGGGUGUGAAAACUCCGGGCUCAACCCGGAGACGCCACCCGAUACUGUCGUGACUGGAGUCCGGUAGGGGAGUGGGGAAUUCCUGGUGUAGCGGUGAAAUGCGCAGAUAUCAGGAGGAACACCGGUGGCGAAGGUGCCACUCUGGGCCGGUACUGACGCUGAGGAGCGAAAGCGUGGGUAGCAAACAGG